rnacentral:rRNA from 1 species
CGAAAGGGAAACAGCCCAGACCACCAGCUAAGGUCCCAAAAUAUAUGUUAAGUGGAAAAGGAUGUGGCGUUGCCCAGACAACUAGGAUGUUGGCUUAGAAGCAGCCAUCAUUUAAAGAGUGCGUAAUAGCUCACUAGUCGAGUGACACUGCGCCGAAAAUGUACCGGGGCUAAACAUAUUACCGAAGCUGUGGAUUGUCCUUUGGACAAUGGUAGGAGAGCGUUCUAAGGGCGUUGAAGCAUGAUCGUAAGGACAUGUGGAGCGCUUAGAAGUGAGAAUGCCGGUGUGAGUAGCGAAAGACGGGUGAGAAUCCCGUCCACCGAUUGACUAAGGUUUCCAGAGGAAGGCUCGUCCGCUCUGGGUUAGUCGGGUCCUAAGCUGAGGCCGACAGGCGUAGGCGAUGGAUAACAGGUUGAUAUUCCUGUACCACCUAUAAUCGUUUUAAUCGAUGGGGGGACGCAGUAGGAUAGGCGAAGCGUGCGAUUGGAUUGCACGUCUAAGCAGUAAGGCUGAGUAUUAGGCAAAUCCGGUACUCGUUAAGGCUGAGCUGUGAUGGGGAGAAGACAUUGUGUCUUCGAGUCGUUGAUUUCACACUGCCGAGAAAAGCCUCUAGAUAGAAAAUAGGUGCCCGUACCGCAAACCGACACAGGUAGUCAAGAUGAGAAUUCUAAGGUGAGCGAGCGAACUCUCGUUAAGGAACUCGGCAAAAUGACCCCGUAACUUCGGGAGAAGGGGUGCUCUUUAGGGUUAACGCCCAGAAGAGCCGCAGUGAAUAGGCCCAAGCGACUGUUUAUCAAAAACACAGGUCUCUGCUAAACCGUAAGGUGAUGUAUAGGGGCUGACGCCUGCCCGGUGCUGGAAGGUUAAGAGGAGUGGUUAGCUUCUGCGAAGCUACGAAUCGAAGCCCCAGUAAACGGCGGCCGUAACUAUAACGGUCCUAAGGUAGCGAAAUUCCUUGUCGGGUAAGUUCCGACCCGCACGAAAGGCGUAACGAUUUGGGCACUGUCUCAACGAGAGACUCGGUGAAAUCAUAGUACCUGUGAAGAUGCAGGUUACCCGCGACAGGACGGAAAGACCCCGUGGAGCUUUACUGUAGCCUGAUAUUGAAAUUCGGCACAGCUUGUACAGGAUAGGUAGGAGCCUUUGAAACGUGAGCGCUAGCUUACGUGGAGGCGCUGGUGGGAUACUACCCUAGCUGUGUUGGCUUUCUAACCCGCACCACUUAUCGUGGUGGGAGACAGUGUCAGGCGGGCAGUUUGACUGGGGCGGUCGCCUCCUAAAAGGUAACGGAGGCGCUCAAAGGUUCCCUCAGAAUGGUUGGAAAUCAUUCAUAGAGUGUAAAGGCAUAAGGGAGCUUGACUGCGAGACCUACAAGUCGAGCAGGGUCGAAAGACGGACUUAGUGAUCCGGUGGUUCCGCAUGGAAGGGCCAUCGCUCAACGGAUAAAAGCUACCCCGGGGAUAACAGGCUUAUCUCCCCCAAGAGUUCACAUCGACGGGGAGGUUUGGCACCUCGAUGUCGGCUCAUCGCAUCCUGGGGCUGUAGUCGGUCCCAAGGGUUGGGCUGUUCGCCCAUUAAAGCGGUACGCGAGCUGGGUUCAGAACGUCGUGAGACAGUUCGGUCCCUAUCCGUCGUGGGCGUAGGAAAUUUGAGAGGAGCUGUCCUUAGUACGAGAGGACCGGGAUGGACAUACCUCUGGUGUACCAGUUGUCGUGCCAACGGCAUAGCUGGGUAGCUAUGUGUGGACGGGAUAAGUGCUGAAAGCAUCUAAGCAUGAAGCCCCCCUCAAGAUGAGAUU